rnacentral:sRNA from 1 species
ACAAGCCCGGUACCACCAGGUACCACAUCACAUAAGAAAAAAGGUUCUAAUGUUUUCUUAACUUAACAGCAAACCAGUCCAGCUACGGGGGCCCAGCCAGCCAGCAGCUGAGUGGGGGUUACGGAGGUGGCUACGGUGGCCAGAGCAGCAUGAGUGGAUACGGUAACCAAGGAGCAGUGAACAGCAGCUACUACAGUAGUGGAAGCCGUGCAUCUAUGGGCGUGAACGGAAUGGGAGGGAUGUCUAGCAUGUCCAGUAUGAGUGGUGGAUGGGGAAUGUAAUUGAUCGAUCCUUAUCACUGACUCUUGGUCAACCUUUUUUUUUUUUUUUUUAAGAAAAAAACUUCAGUUUAACAGUUUCUGCAAUACAAGCUUGUGAUUUAUGCUUACUCUAAGUGGAAAUCAGGAUUGUUAUGAAGACUUAAGGCCCAGUAUUUUUGAAUACAAUACUCAUCUAGGAUGUAACAGUGAAGCUGAGUAAACUAUAACUGUUAAACUUAAGUUCCAGCUUUUCUCAAGUUAGUUAUAGGAUGUACUUAAGCAGUAAGCGUAUUUAGGUAAAAGCAGUUGAAUUAUGUUAAAUGUUGCCCUUU